UUCAGUCUUAGAAAUUUGCUUUGUUUUGUUUUUCUCCCAGAGAGGAGUGACACGAAAAAUGAACAAAACACAGACUUCAGUGUUGUGAAAGUGGAAUUUUCUUACCCACUUGGUGGAUAUGGUCAUGAUUGGAAGAAGAGCAUCUAGACAUUGAAGAGAUUACAUUCUUUUACAGUUUUUUCCAUAAGGAACAUCUGAAGAAGACUGCAAAUCCCCUUGAGAAGUAUUGUAUGCAGAAAGGGAUCAAAUUAAUUUACCUGCAUAUGCCUGAGCCUGCUGCCUUACAAUUUGACGACUUAAGGUGAGUGACACUUUUGGCACAUCUUAAUUCUGAAUAGUGUCUAAACUUAUUACCAAAAUACAAAU
rnacentral:lncRNA from 1 species